AUUGAACGCUGGCGGCAGGCCUAAUACAUGCAAGUCGACCUUAGUGGCGAACGGGUGAUUAACACGUGGGUAACCUGCCCAUCAGACUGGGAUAACACUUGGAAACAGGUGCUCAUACCGUAUACUGAUGUAUGGACCCGCUGGGCAUUAGCUAGUUGGUGAGGUAACGGCUCACCAAGGCCACGAUGCAUAGCCGGCCUGAGAGGGUGAUCGGCCACAAUGGGACUGAGACACGGCCCAAACUCCUACGGGAGGCAGCAGUAGGGAAUCUUCGGCAAUGGACGAAAGUCUGACCGAGCAACGCCGCGUGAGUGAAGAAGGUUUUCGGAUCGUAAAACUCUGUUGUUAGAGAAGCGGUAUCUAAACAGAAAGCCACGGCUAACUACGUGCCAGCAGCCGCGGUAAUAC
rnacentral:rRNA from 1 species